rnacentral:misc_RNA from 1 species
CUCUCGUUCCCCUCGACAUUCUCUGGGAUUUCUCUAGGAAUCGACUUGCGUUGCAACAGCGUGAUAAGACCUAAGCGUCGCCGUUCUCUCCAGGUGACUGCAGCGGGGAAGAAACUUCUCUGCAUGACUAAAAGGAAUAAGUCUCGUAAGUCACUUGCUCGGGUUCAUGGCUUCCGCAGACGGAUGAGAACCACUAGUGGGAGAGCGGUAUUGCAGCGGAGACGUGCCAA